ensembl:lncRNA
GGGCUUGUUUGCUUUUCUCUGGAUGGUCCUCAGUUGGAAGCAGGGCCAAAAAUUAGAUUAACAAUCAAGUCCGGGCUCUUCGGGGCCAGUUGUUACAGGGCUUACUAUUUGGCUUCCUGGAGUCCUUGCUAGAAAAAGUGAUCUGAUACUCACCAGUCUGACUUGGAGGUGGUAGGCUGGCUUCUAGUAGAUAACAGGGGCUCAUCAGAAGGUCCCUGAAGUUCCCAUGACUCCAGAAAGAAAACCCUUGGGCAUCCAGAGGGGGUACGACCAGACUCCUCAUGCUGAAGUGUCUGUCCUUGGUCUAUCAGGCAACCCUAGACCACCGGCUUCCAGAAGAGCCCACACCAGGCAUCGCUCCCGCUUGGUCCACACGAAACAAACGCACACCACUCACCCAGACGAACCCUAGGAGAGCAGGCUGCUCCCUGCAGAGCGAGCACCGCUCCGGCUCUGCCACCAGAGCAGCUGGGAGUCCUUCUCUUACUCUCUGGAACUGCCUUUGGGUUAUCAGACCCCAGUUCCCUGUGUCUCCCAGCUGCCGGGAACACAUUUCAAACCUGUCCGGUGGGCUCCCUGGAAGCGCUUGCAAAUUGAGAAUUAGAAAAAAGAAGAUUUUGUCAGCUCACAUGAACUGCGCAGACUUACUGAAGGACCAGCAGGCUGGGGACCCUGGCAUAUGAAUUAUGGAGGAAACGUGCCAAUGUACACAGCAGGAGUAACUAGUAAGGAUGUAAAAAUCUGCCUUUCAUAACAUUUUUGAAAGGCAGAGUUCUCCUGAUUAAUGAGAAAAUUACGGAGGAAACCUAGAGCAUUUCUGGGACUUGACCGUUAUCCGGGAGAACCAAGAAUUUCAGAGUUUGUUUACCCCAGCAGGUUUUAAGCCCAGCUGCUCGUUAAUCCCUCUAGAUUCCAUUUUGCUGAUCUUGCUAUCCUGUUGGAAUCACUUCUUCAAUCCUUCUCAGGCCCUUCCACCACAAUCACCUUCACCUUGCCACUUGAAAUUAAUCUAGAGUCCUUGAAAGGGAAUGGCUGGGUGAGGCACUUCUUGGUAUCAGUAGGAGAGGCGAGAUGGAAGUGCUACUUACCCUAAGCUUCACAGGUGCUCUCUACAAGAGUGAAGUUCCACCUUCAAGACCUAGAAUCUAGGUUUGGAGACUAGACAUAAAGAUUCACUAAAUGAUGAUUACACAUUGCUCUCAUUAUGUAUAGGAAACUGUGAGUUGAGUUCUCUACGGUGGUGGUGGAGUACAUGAGAAAAGAUUUAAGAAGCCCCUUUCUAGACUGUGGGAGGCCACAAGAUUUUCUCAACGCAGGUCAAGGAAGAUUUCCAGUUGAGAGUAGAAAAGUAAAUCUUAUUAUCCCUUGAACCAACGAACUUACAUCUUAGAACUGACCAACAGACUUGGAUUCAAAUUUUGGCUGCUCCAUAAAUGAAUAAACAGAUUCCAGUUUCUCUGUGGCUCAUAAAAACUGGCUCAGAGUAAACACCUUUCCCUCCAAAUCUUGACAAAUUAGCUGAGCACCACCUGAGGACAGUAGCAGUGCUCAGUUGCAUCUUACCCUUUGCAAUCCUUGGGACUGUUACCCGCCAGGCUCCUCUGUCCAUGGAAUUCUCCUAGCAAGAAUACUGGAGUGGGUUACCAUUCACUCCUCCAGGGGAUCUUCCUGACCUAAGGAUCAAAUCUGCAUCUCCUGUACUGGCAGGUGGAUUCUUUACCACUGAGCCACCAGGGAAGCCCUCUGGGAAGCCCACAUGAAGAUAAAGUGAAGUGAAAGUCGCUCAGUCGUGUUUAACUCUUUGCGACCCCAUGAACAUGGAAUUCUCCAGGCAAGAAUACUGGAGUGGGUAGCCAUUUCCUUCUCCAGGGGAUCUUCCCAACCAAGGUCUCCUGCAUUGCAGGUGGAUUCUUUACCAAAUGAGCCACAAGGGAAG